UCAAGUGACGUCACGAAUGGUUUCAGGAACAGGGAAGUCGCCGUUGCUUACUCUCACUAGCGCGAAGUUUUGAAGCUAUUUUAAGAGAAAAUGCUUUGAUGAAAUGGCUGAAAGUCAUUCAAAGUCUAAACUCAAACGAAAGAAACCCUCAGCCGGUGACCACCCACCGGAGAUAUGUUCCCGGGGAACGCCGAACCGGACUUGGACAACAAUGUUCCCCAGCGACGGUACAACAGAGCCUGAGAGGUCAGUAGUUCCUGCAGCAGAGUGGUGGAGGAGAGAGCAGCUGCCUGCUGUAAAGAGUUGUUGGGCUUUGAUUCUGAAGUCUGCUCUGCUGUAUCUGGAGAACCAGCACUGCGACCUGGUUCCUGAUCUUCCUUGUCCAUCUAUAGCGAGACCAACAUCACCAAAGUUGGAUGACCAACGAUGGUGUAACCUCCAUGAAGAAGUCGCUCCCUUCCCUGAACCUGCUCUGCCUCCUCAGAGGACUGCAUCGAGUCCAGAUCCUCUCAGGCUCUGCUCGUCCCAGCAUGACCCUUCAAUAGAGACAAAACUGGCACUAGACCCACCUGACAGACUGCUGCCCUCUCACACAUGGCAAAGUCUUAACGGCAAGACAACAUCCCUUCAAGCCCUCACCAAAAGACUGCAGCCUUCCCACAACAGCUGGGAGGCAGCAGCAUCAUCAGCAGGACCCUCAAGUGUUGGUGGAGAGGAGGAGAAAAAGGAAAAAGAGACUGACAAACAAAUUUGUCUGCAGAAGAGGGGUAAAAAUAAAGAAAAGUUGGUGGAUGAGGAAGAGGAGGUGCACAGGAGUGGUGGAGAAGCAGUGGGAGGAGGAACACUGCAGAGCUGCCCCAUGUGCCUGCUUGUGUUCCCUGCUGGCAGCCGUGGUAGAGUUUGAAAGAGAAAGACGCAUGAUGUUUCAUGCACAUAGUGGUGCACACCUUUCAGAUUUCAGCAAGUUCAAAAGAAUAGGCCUGUUGGUUCUCCCAGAUGGACUGUGACAGCCACCUGGCCCAGUGUCUGUCAGAGGUGAACAUGGACAUGACCUGGUGAGUUAACAGGAUGCUGGCUGCUGUCCAGGAGCCAUAAGCAGCCCAGAUGUCCUGCACACUUCACCAUCAUAUGAUAUGGAGAGGGACACGCCCAGAGAGCUGCUCGUACAGAGAGCGUUCACUGUUCAUUGAAGUACUGACACCUUCCAGGCUUCACGCUGAGGGGGGACUCCUUGAGGCACUUGAGGAAACCAAAAUGUAGUCCCUUUAGAAAAAAAAACAAAAGAUGGGAAUAACAUUCCUAUGUCAUGGAAGAGAUUUGGAGUAAAAUAUAUGAGACUGGCCAAUAAAGACAGCUGUAAACAAAUAA